rnacentral:rRNA from 1 species
UACGAAGGGGGCUAGCGUUGCUCGGAAUCACUGGGCGUAAAGGGUGCGUAGGCGGGGCUUUAAGUCAGGGGUGAAAUCCUGGAGCUCAACUCCAGAACUGCCUUUGAUACUGAAGAUCUUGAGUUCGGGAGAGGUGAGUGGAACUGCGAGUGUAGAGGUGAAAUUCGUAGAUAUUCGCAAGAACACCAGUGGCGAAGGCGGCUACCUGGCCCAAUACUGACACUCAGGUGCGACAGCGUGGGGAGCAAACAGG